rnacentral:misc_RNA from 1 species
GAUGAAGAACCUAGCGAAAUGCGAUAAGUAAUGUGAAUUGCAGAAUUCAGUGAAUCAUCGAAUCUUUGAACGCACAUUGCGCCCGCCAGUAUUCUGGCGGGCAUGCCUGUUCGAGCGUCAUUUCAACCCUCAGGCCCCCAGUGCCUGGUGUUGGGGAUCGGCCCAGCCUUCCUGUAAGGCCGCCGGCCCCGAAAUCUAGUGGCGGUCUCGCUGUAGUCCUCCUCUGCGUAGUAGCACAACCUCGCAGUUGGAACGCGGCGGUGGCCAUGCCGUUAAACACCCCACUUCUGAAAGUUGACCUCGGAUCAGGUAGGAAUACCCGCUGAACUUAAGCAUAUCAAUAAGCGGAGGA